rnacentral:rRNA from 1 species
UACGUAGGGCGCAAGCGUUGUCCGGAAUUAUUGGGCGUAAAGAGCUCGUAGGCGGUCUGUUACGUCCGCUGUGAAAACCCAGGGCUUAACCCUGGGCUUGCAGUGGAUACGGGUAGACUAGAGGCAGGUAGGGGAGAAUGGAAUUCCCGGUGUAGCGGUGAAAUGCGCAGAUAUCGGGAGGAACACCGGUGGCGAAGGCGGCGACCUGGACGGACACUGACGCUGAGACGCGAAAGCGUGGGGAGCAAACAGG